UACGUAGGCAGCGAGCGUUGUUCGGAGUUACUGGGCGUAAAGCGUGCGUAGGCGGUUUUGUAAGUUUGGUGUGAAAUCUCCCGGCUCAACUGGGAGGGUGCGCCGAAAACUGCAAGGCUGGAGUGUGGGAGAGGUAGGCGGAAUUCCUGGUGUAGCGGUGAAAUGCGUAGAUAUCAGGAGGAACACCUGUGGUGUAGACGGCUUACUGGACCAUGACUGACGCUGAGGCACGAAAGCGUGGGGAGCGAACGGG
rnacentral:rRNA from 1 species